rnacentral:tRNA from 1 species
GCUUGACUGGUUUAGUGGGUAGAGUGUGUGACUUUUGAUCUUGGGGUCAUGAGUUUGAGCCCCAUGUUGGGCA